ensembl:ncRNA T08G3.15 ncRNA
UACAAUGCUCUAUAAGCCAUGUAGGAUUUGAGAAGGCAAACACGGAUCAACGAUCGGCAUAGGACGGACGCAUUCAAGGAACAACACAAGGAGUCCACGAGGAGAUGUUGCGACUUCGCGAAGAUUUUAUUAAUUUAACUUUUUUUUGGAAAUUUUUGUAUUUUUUCAAUCUUUUUUAUCCUUUCUGCAUAGCAAAUUGCAAUUUGCAAUUUGCAACGAUCGGACA